GAGAGUGUGAAGAGGAUUUUCCCUGACCAGUUUCAUUCAGGUGUCCUACAUUAGUCAGGACUGUGAAGAAAUUCCAGAAUUCCUAGGAAGAAAAUAUGGACACAUGGCAAAAAGGCUAGAUCUUAGCUUCAACUUGUUAAGUUCUUCUCAAAUCACUCCUGUGCUGCGUGACUGCUACCUUGGAUGACCCAGUGAUGGACAGUUGUGUUGGCUUCCACUUUAUUUCUACAAAUUCUUCUGUUCUGUGUGACUGCAAAAAUCUUUCCUCUGCUUCCAGAGAAGUCCAAGAAAACUACUGGCACUGACAAAAGAUGAAAAUAUGAUUUAUGCUGACAUCAUGUAUUACCCAAGCAAAUCCGUUUUGUGAAAGAUGGUUUUUUAUGGUGUGGAAAUAAAGAAUCAGUGAAUAGUUAUUGAAGGACCUGG
rnacentral:lncRNA from 1 species